UGGGGAAUAUUGCGCAAUGGGGGAAACCCUGACGCAGCAACGCCGCGUGAAGGAUGAAGGCUUUCGGGUUGUAAACUUCUUUGAUAGGGGACGAACACAAUGACGGUACCCUAAAAACAAGCCACGGCUAACUACGUGCCAGCAGCCGCGGUAAUACGUAGGUGGCGAGCGUUGUCCGGAGUUACUGGGUGUAAAGGGCGUGUAGGCGGGAAUGCAAGUCAGAUGUGAAAUUCCGAGGCUCAACCUCGGCGCUGCAUCUGAAACUGUGUUUCUUGAGUGCUGGAGAGGAAAGCGGAAUUCCCGGUGUAGCGGUGAAAUGCGUAGAGAUCGGGAGGAACACCAGUGGCGAAGGCGGCUUUCUGGACAGUAACUGACGCUGAGGCGCGAAAGCGUGGGGAGCAAACAGGAUUAGAUACCCUGGUAGUCCACGCUGUAAACGAUGGAUACUAGGUGUAGGAGGUAUCGACCCCUCCUGUGCCGCAGUUAACACAAUAAGUAUCCCACCUGGGGAGUACGGCCGCAAGGUUG
rnacentral:rRNA from 1 species